AUAGUAGGCGGGGUAACGGCCCACCUAGUCCACGAUGAAUAGGGGUUCUGAGAGGAAGGUCCCCCACACUGGUACUGAGACACGGACCAGACUCCUACGGGAGGCAGCAGUGAGGAAUAUUGGUCAAUGGGCGCGAGCCUGAACCAGCCAAGUAGCGUGAAGGAUGACUGCCCUAUGGGUUGUAAACUUCUUUUAUAUGGGAAUAAACAGAGCCACGUGUGGUUUAUUGUAUGUACCAUUAUGAAUAAGCAUCGGCUAACUCCGUGCCAGCAGCCGCGGUAAUACGGAGGAUGCGAGCGUUAUCCGGAUUUAUUGGGUUUAAAGGGAGCGUAGGUGGAUAAUUAAGUCAGUUGUGAAAGUUUGCGGCUCAACCGUAAAAUUGCAGUUGAUACUGGUUAUCUUGAGUACAGUAGAGGUGGGCGGAAUUCGUGGUGUAGCGGUGAAAUGCUUAGAUAUCACGAAGAACUCCGAUUGCGAA
rnacentral:rRNA from 1 species